AAAUGUGCUCUCUUAUUAUUUGUCCAGUAGGUUUCCUCAAGGAGAAAGCCCCA
rnacentral:snRNA from 1 species